rnacentral:misc_RNA from 1 species
UUUCCGUAGGUGAACCUGCGGAAGGAUCAUUACCGAAUUGUCAACAUGAAGUUGUUGCUGGCCCUCAGAUGGGGGCAUGUGCACGCUCUGUUUACACAUCCACUCACACCUGUGCACUCUCUGUAGUUCUAUGGUUUGGGGGUUCGACCUCCCUACUGUGGUUCUGCGUAUUUACACACACACACACCGUAGUAAAGUCUUAUGGAAUGUAUUUCGCGUUUAACGCAAUGCAAUACAACUUUCAGCAACGGAUCUCUUGGCUCUC